rnacentral:sRNA from 1 species
ACUACUGUGACAAAAUUACAGUUGUUAACUGAGAGCUAAAAGGAACAUUUGUAUCAGAGAAAAAAAGCAAGUACUUACUUCCCAGAUGAAGAUCUCAGAGCCCAUGAGGCUGGCAACUCUGAGUUGGCUUGAAAGACAUCAUUAAUGAUACAAUGACAAAAAGACCAGGGUCAUCCAUGGAAUGAAGAGUAACACAAAACUGAAGGAUACAUUGUGAAAGUCAGAACAAAACCAGAGAGAUCAUAUUCAAGCGUUUCCUGACUUCCUGAAGCCAGUACUAGAAGGAAACAAGCAGAGCCAGAUACAAGGAAAGUUAAAAAGUAAAGCUCACAUGUCUUUCCCAUGCCUGACAGCAAUCAAAACCUACUCACUUGAAAUGAUUGGAUGGGCUGACUUUACAAAUGUGGGAAAUCACCUGACCUGGAUGUUCACUUUUCUACCUGCCGGCUUAUUUCACAUUGUUUCUGUGUAGAAUGAAAUCACGUCUAGGGCGGCGGUUCCAAAAACCAUCAAAAAGUUGGAUAAUACGUUUACAAAGCGCUACCCAGUGCUACUAAAUCCUGCAUAAAGGAAGCGAGUUACAGCUUAGGAGUAGAGACUUUUUGUACCAUGUACAAAGUCUUCACUUCCACAUAGCAUGCAUGAGGACCACUGCAGCACAACAUGAAC